GCCUGGGUGGCUCAGUCGGUUAAGCAUCCGACUUCGGCUCAGGUCAUGAUCUCGCGGUUUGUGGGUUCGAGCCCCGCAUCGGGCU
rnacentral:tRNA from 1 species